rnacentral:rRNA from 1 species
AUUGAACGCUGGCGGCAUGCCUUACACAUGCAAGUCGAACGGCAGCACGGGUGCUUGCACCUGGUGGCGAGUGGCGAACGGGUGAGUAAUACAUCGGAACAUGUCCUGUAGUGGGGGAUAGCCCGGCGAAAGCCGGAUUAAUACCGCAUACGAUCCACGGAUGAAAGCGGGGGACCUUCGGGCCUCGCGCUAUAGGGUUGGCCGAUGGCUGAUUAGCUAGUUGGUGGGGUAAAGGCCUACCAAGGCGACGAUCAGUAGCUGGUCUGAGAGGACGACCAGCCACACUGGGACUGAGACACGGCCCAGACUCCUACGGGAGGCAGCAGUGGGGAAUUUUGGACAAUGGGCGAAAGCCUGAUCCAGCAAUGCCGCGUGUGUGAAGAAGGCCUUCGGGUUGUAAAGCACUUUUGUCCGGAAAGAAAUCCUUGACUCUAAUACAGUCGGGGGAUGACGGUACCGGAAGAAUAGGCACCGGCUAACUACGUG